GCGUCGCCCAUGCUCUCCGCCACCACCGCGCCGCUCCAGGGCGCCGGCCUGUCCGAGUUCUCCGGGCUCAGGAGCUCCGCCUCGCUGCCGCUGCGGCGGAAUGCCACCUCCGACGACUUCGUGAACGCCGUCUCCUUCAGGACCCACGCGGUACGUGCUCUGCUCCCACCUGCAUCAUAUAUGUGUCGGGACGCGUUAGCUUCAUUCGUUUCACGGCUUGGGGGAUGAACAUGCUUGCUUUGCCUGCGUGUGCAGGUCGGCACGAGUGGCGGGCCUAGGCGGGCGCCGACGGAGGCCAAGCUGAAGGUGGCGAUCAACGGGUUCGGCCGCAUCGGGCGCAACUUCCUCCGCUGCUGGCACGGGCGCGACGACUCGCCGCUCGAGGUCAUCGCCAUCAACGACACGGGAGGCGUCAAGCAGGCGUCUCACCUGCUCAAGUACGACUCCACGCUCGGCAUCUUCGACGCCGACGUUAAGCCCGUGGGGGACAACGCCAUCUCCGUCGACGGCAAGGUCAUCAAGGUCGUGUCCGACCGCAACCCCAGCAACCUGCCGUGGGGGGAGAUGGGCGUAGACCUCGUCAUCGAGGGCACGGGGGUGUUCGUCGACCGCGAGGGCGCCGGGAAGCACAUCCAGGCGGGAGCCAAGAAGGUGCUCAUCACGGCGCCAGGGAAGGGCGACAUCCCCACCUACGUCUGCGGCGUCAAUGCUGACCAGUACAACCCCGACGAGCCCAUCAUCAGCAACGCCUCCUGCACCACCAACUGUCUCGCGCCCUUCGUCAAGGUCCUCGACCAGAAGUUCGGUGCGUGCUCCAUUAUAUAUGCUCUCUUCUGCAAUAUUGUAAUGAGUCCAUGUCCCGAUCAGGCUUGGCAUGACGAUGCUUACUAAGACCUAGCAAUUAAUAUGAUGCAUCGCAUCGCAGGCAUCAUCAAGGGCACCAUGACCACCACCCACUCCUACACCGGUGACCAGAGGCUGCUGGACGCCAGCCACCGCGACCUGCGCCGCGCCCGCGCCGCCGCGCUCAACAUCGUGCCCACCUCCACCGGCGCCGCCAAGGCCGUGGCGCUGGUGCUCCCCAACCUCAAGGGCAAGCUCAACGGGAUCGCGCUCCGGGUGCCCACCCCGAACGUCUCCGUCGUCGACCUCGUCGUGCAGGUCUCCAAGAAGACCCUCGCCGAGGAGGUGAACCAGGCGUUCCGCGACAGCGCCGCCAACGAGCUCGCCGGCAUCCUCGAGGUCUGCGACGCCCCGCUCGUGUCCGUCGACUUCAGGUGCUCCGACGUGUCCUCCACCGUCGACGCCUCGCUCACCAUGGUCAUGGGCGACGACAUGGUCAAGGUCAUCGCGUGGUACGACAACGAGUGGGGCUACUCGCAGAGGGUCGUCGACCUAGCUGACAUUGUCGCCAACAAUUGGAAGUGAAGCCUCGCAUUGUAAUAACCCAUCCUCGGCUUCAAAAUUUUCCCCAGGGUCUUCCCUGAUGAUAAUUUGUAAUGAGAAAUCGAGGACCCAAACUCCCAACAAUUCCUUUUAUUUU
rnacentral:lncRNA from 1 species